CAAUAGCGUAUAUUAAUGUUGUUGCAGUUAAAAAGCUCGUAGUUGAAUUUCUGGACUUGACGUUCGGUCCGUGGCCUUUGUGUCAUGUGUACUGUUUUAGUUAAGACCAUCUUAGUAGUGAGUGUUACUGGCAUUAAGUUGUCGGUUGCAGGAGCUGCUUCGUUUACUGUGAAUAAAAUAGAGUGUUUAAAGCAGGCAUUACGCCUUGAAUACUUCAGCAUGGAAUAAAAUUAUAGGACUUAGGUGCUAUUUUAUUGGUUUGCACACCUAGUAAUGAUUAAUAGGGAUAGUUGGGGGUAUUCAUAUUUGAUUGUCAGAGGUGAAAUUCUUGGAUUUAUGAAAGAUGAACUUAUGCGAAAGCAUUUACCAAGGAUGUUUUCAUUAA
rnacentral:rRNA from 1 species